rnacentral:rRNA from 1 species
GAUGAACGCUGGCGGCGUGCCUAAUACAUGCAAGUCGAGCGAACAGACGAGGAGCUUGCUCCUCUGACGUUAGCGGCGGACGGGUGAGUAACACGUGGAUAACCUACCUAUAAGACUGGGAUAACUUCGGGAAACCGGAGCUAAUACCGGAUAAUAUAUUGAACCGCAUGGUUCAAUAGUGAAAGACGGUUUUGCUGUCACUUAUAGAUGGAUCCGCGCCGCAUUAGCUAGUUGGUAAGGUAACGGCUUACCAAGGCAACGAUGCGUAGCCGCCCUGAGAGGGUGAUCGGCCACACUGGAACUGAGACACGGUCCAGACUCCUACGGGAGGCAGCAGUAGGGAAUCUUCCGCAAUGGGCGAAAGCUUGACGGAGAAACGCCGCGUGAGUGAUGAAGGUCUUCGGAUCGUAAAACUAUGUUAUUAGGGAAGAACAAAUGUGUAAGUAACUAUGCACGUCUUGACGGUACCUAAUCAGAAAGCCACGGCUAACUACGUG